GGCUUACAUAGGUAACACUCAUAGUGUUCUUCACAUACAACAUCUAUCUAAGGAACAGUCCAUAGCCCCAACCCAGUGACUCCCCAAGCCCUCUGGAUAGCUUCUACAUUGCCCAAAUCUGAUCAGUUAUAGACCCCUUCCAAAGAGAGACUUGUUCACUUACCUCUUCUAGGCUGUAACAAGAAUAACAUCAGCACAGUUGGCCUACUAUCAAUCAGAGAGAACAAUACAAAUUAUCUCCUACAGGUUAGAAUUAAUGAGAUAAUGAAUGAAUUAGAGCUGCAGCUAAUCAGGCAAAAAGUCCUUUCAGGUGUUGGUGGUAGGGCCAAACAUAUCCCUCAAUCUCAGACAACUCUUUGUUUCUUUAAAAUUCAGGUAUAAACCUCAGUAUCUUUGGACUAUGCCCAGUGCUCCUUGCAAUGAGCUGAUCUGUGGAAUAUCUGGAUUUUGCUUGGCGCUGGCUGUGAGUGUGCAGCACAACCCUGAGCCCAUGGAUUGACACGCAGAGCAGGAGCAGCUGCCACGAGCUCCAGGUGCUUGCUGAGACUGGAGCCAUGGUAAAGGGUUACCUCCAGCAAAAGAAAUGCAAAACACCUUUCUCAUGACCAUGAGGAGUUGUG
rnacentral:lncRNA from 1 species